UGACGGCGUGCUUAACACAUGCAAGUCUGCGAGAAAGUUAUAGCAAUAUAGCGAGUAAAGCGGCGAAAGGGUGCGUAACGCGUAAGCAACUUGCCCAUAGGAUGGGGAUAACGUCGAGAAAUCGGCGCUAAUACCCAAUAAUGCAGCGGCAUCGCAUGAUGAUGUUGUUAAAGGUCGCUUCGGUGGCGCCUAUGGAUGGGCUUGCGUCUGAUUAGUUAGUUGGCGAGGUAACGGCUCACCAAGACGACGAUCAGUAGCUGGUCUGAGAGGAUGAUCAGCCACACUGGAACUGAGACACGGUCCAGACUCCUACGGGAGGCAGCAGUGAGGAAUAUUGGGCAAUGCCCGCAAGGGUGACCCAGCAACGCCGCGUGGAGGAUGACAGCCGUAAGGUUGUAAACUCCUGUUCGGGGGGACGAAUAACCGUCGUUUGCAAAGGCGACGGCUUGACGGUACCCUCAGAGAAAGCCCCGGCUAACUACGUGCCAGCAGCCGCGGUAAUACGUAGGGGGCAAACGUUGUCCGGAUUUACUGGGUGUAAAGGGCGCGCAGGCCGGUCGGUCAGUCAGAGGUGAAAGCCCACAGCUUAACUGUGGAACUGCCUUUGAUACUGCCGAUCUUGAGUGCGGGAGAGAGAAGCGGAAUUCCAGGUGUAGUGGUGAAAUACGUAGAUAUCUGGAAGAACACCGGUUGCGAAGGCGGCUUCUUGGACCGACACUGACGCUGAGGCGCGAAAGCGUGGGUAACGAACAGGAUUAGAUACCCUGGU
rnacentral:rRNA from 1 species